GUUUUUUUUGUUUUAGUCAAUUGGCUUAUUUCAUGGGCAUAGGCCUGGAGCUACAGCUCCAUCAGCCCCUAUGUUAAUCCGGCCCUGGCUCCCCUUGACACCCUGAAACGCUUAUCCCUCCUACACACAUAAGCCCCUAAAAAAGAGGUAGUCUUGUGUUCAUGGAAGUAUUUAAUUCAGUCAGUGUGUCAACGAGUCAAAUAGAGAAGGGCAUGUUGAACACUGCAUUGUGGGUGUUCCUCCAGGAGGGCCUGGUGGACUCACAAUCCAAGCAAAGAAAACAAAACAUUUUCAAACUCUGCUAACUCCACUAAUUUGGCUUGUAAUUGUUGCACGACCGAUGAAUUGACCAGUCAGAGGCUUCUUAUUGAGAAUCCUCUGUGGUUUAGCCACAUGCGACUUUUCAUUCACACUAUGCAAUGAGUUGUAGUACAGCUCAUUAUAAAGUAUUAAAAUACGCACUCUGGCUUAGUGGAGCUCACAGAAGCAGAAGAAAUCCUCCCUGAAUGACUGCAGUGCUUUAUAUGUUGUGUUCCUUUAAUAAAGAAAAGUGAUUAUAUGCACUGGUGGACCGUUGCUUUUAAAGGGAUACUAUAGUGCUAAGAAAACAAAGUUGCUUUUCUAGCACUAUAGUGACCUCAACCCCUCCUCCCGUGGUGCUUAAGGGGUUUUAAAACAUCAACAUAAAAAAAAAAUUACAGCCGUAGCACAGACUUUUCAAUUAGCAGAGUAUAAUGUUUUCUUUUUU